UCCCCUAUUUUUCUUAAAGCUGGCCAUAAAGAAAUUUUCUGACCUACUUUCUCUAAUAGGUCAUGAAACCCUUUUCCAGAAUGUUCUUGCCUCAUACCCAUGAGGCAGAAAUGCUGAAGAAUUUGAGCAGACAGGACUUGCUGGUUGUCCUCCUCCAGUCUAUUAGCAAUCAUGCCUGUGCAAUGAAGUCUUCAUAAAAACCUCAAAGAACAGGAUGUAAUGAAUUUCCUGAGAGCUGAACAUAUGAACAUUCUACACCUGGAGAGGGAUACGGUGGGCACUUGGACUGGGAUCACUCACCAGCUAUUGCCUGUGGAAGCACUCCUGUGGGAGCAGAAUCCUAUGCUGUCCCUGAAAGAUCACAG
rnacentral:lncRNA from 1 species